rnacentral:lncRNA from 1 species
UGAACAACUGCUGCAGGUUAUAUGUUUGUAGUUAGAAUGUGAGACUGGCAAACAUGUGAUCUGUUAUUACUUUUAAUCAUUUUCAUGAUGAUUUUGUUUGUGUGCAGAUGGCUCUCCUGUGCUGGAUGGCAGUGGUGCUGGCUUUCUUCCUGUCUGCUGAUAACAGUGUGGAUGCUGUGGACAGCAGCAGGCUUGCAACACUUGUAAAUGGCAUCUUGAGAGAGUACGGAACACCUGGCAUGUUCAGUCUGGCUGUAAGUAUCCCAGAUGACCAGAACCGGAACAUUAAGGAUAUCCUUCAGGAAGUCUUCCUUAGUGAUCCUGGUGACGACGUGAAGAAUAAGAUCAACAAAAACGAGGUGUACGUGGGCAGCAGGGUUGUUGCAGCCAAAGUUCUGAAACGGUCCAAUGGAGGAGCGGAUCAUGCAGAGUCACGCGUUGUGGACCAUCUGAGCAGAUUGUUCAAGAAGAAUAAUCCCAAUGAUUUCUUGCUUUUCUAUGUUUAUGCCUCCCCAUGUGUUGAAAAAUGUUCAAGCGACACACAUCACGAGAGCAUCCUCAGAAGGAUUAAUGCCAUACGGGAAUGGAAAAGUUACGCUGUUGUGUUUUCUAAAAUAUUUAAACCCAGAAAUGGUCAGGCCAAUACUGAGCAAGAGCUGAGUGGAGCCCUUCAGCGACUCGGGACGUACCAGGGUACCGAAGGUCAAAUCGGUCUAAACAACAUAUUCCGUUGUGACAAACGAAAUAAUUGGAUGAAGUGCAAGAGCUGCCUCAAGUUAAGUGGUAA